CUUCGGUCUAAGUUGAGUGGCGAACGGGUGAGUAACACGUGGGUGACCUACCUUCGAGUGGGGGAUAACGUCCCGAAAGGGACGCUAAUACCGCAUAACAUCCUGCCUUUGAACAGGUGGAGAUCAAAGCCGGGGAUCGCAAGACCUGGCGCUUGAUGAGGGGCCCGCGCCUGAUUAGCUAGUUGGUGGGGUAAUGGCUCACCAGGGCGACGAUCAGUAUCCGGCCUGAGAGGGCGGACGGACACACUGGGACUGAGACACGGCCCAGACUCCUACGGGAGGCAGCAGUGGGGAAUUGUUCGCAAUGGGCGCAAGCCUGACGACGCAACGCCGCGUGGAGGAUGAAGGUCUUCGGAUUGUAAACUCCUGUUGCUCGGGACGAAAAGCUUCGACCUAACACGUCGAAGUCUGACGGUACCGAGUGAGGAAGCCCCGGCUAACUCUGUGCCAGCAGCCGCGGUAAUACAGAGGGGGCAAGCGUUGUUCGGAAUUACUGGGCGUAAAGGGCGCGUAGGCGGCCUGCUAAGUCGAACGUGAAAUCCCUGGGCUCAACCCAGGAACUGCGUCCGAUACUGGUUGGCUUGAAUCCGGGAGAGGGAUGUGGAAUUCCAGGUGUAGCGGUGAAAUGCGUAGAUAUCUGGAGGAACACCGGUGGCGAAGGCGACAUCCUGGACCGGCAUUGACGCUGAGGCGCGAAAGCCAGGGGAGCAAACGGGAUUAG
rnacentral:rRNA from 1 species